rnacentral:tRNA from 1 species
GGGCCCGUAGCUCAGCCUGGUGGAGCACCCGGCUGAUAACCGGGGGGUCGGGGGUUCAAAUCCCCCCGGGCCCACCA